rnacentral:lncRNA from 1 species
UUAUGAAAAAUCCAAGCUUUUCCUAGUACUGAUUUAAUCAAUUUUAUUUAUUUAUUUAUUUAUUUAUUUAUUUAGAGAUAGGGUUUCUCUGUGUAGCCCUGGCUGUCCUAGAACUCACUCUAUAGACCAGGCUGGUCUUGAACACGUAGAUCCACCUGCCUCUGAUUCCCGAAUGCUGGGAUAAAAGAUGUGCACCACUAUCUCCUGGUUUGGGUUUUUAAAGAGCUCUCUCUAUGUUGGGGCUUCUCUUAGGAGUCAGUUUCCAUCCUGAGCAAAGUGUUCGAUGAGAGUCUCACAAAUGUGUUCCUCAGCUGAGAGGAAAGCAGUUAUGGAGGAAGCAGGGGCCACUGUUGGAUAAUGGAUUAGCCUCAGGCUGCAGAGCAAUGUGAGGGAGUGCAGUGCCCCUGGGGAGUGGUGGGCGGCCUCCCCUCAGAGCACCACAGCUCUCCUCUUGUGGGCAGUCACACAGAACCAGGCCAAGCUGCCCUGCGAGCUGCCUUCGGGGCUGCUGGCGUGCAAUGGGUGGGUCUUGGACGUGUUUCUGAAGCUACUACGCCAGAACAAGUGAGCAUGCUCACAAGCUCUAGACCAGCAUGCCACCACAAGGGAGACUGUGAGCCAUGCAGGAGUCCCAGUGGCCGGUUUUGAAUACCUUUCAAGUGAUUUCACCAAGGAAGAUUAUUUAUGAUACACCCAGGAGGGUGAGCAGUUAUCUGGUGACCUGGAAGCUGGAAGCUUUCUUAGGUCAUCAGCAGAUACUUUAAGUCCACUUGACGCCACGAAUACAGACACUGGAUUAUCCCAGGAGAAGGGGCGUUGGUACCUUCUCUGUGGCAGAAUUGUUACCAGGUUUGUUAGGCUGCCAGCUAGUCUAGCUUUGAGAUGUCUCACCUUAAAGGUUAAGAACUCUACAAGGAGCUCAGGUAGCUUGGGCUAUGACCCGUUCCUUCCCUGAGAGUUAGCUCUGUCCCUGCAGGCCCCCUUGACACAGCCAAUUUACUUCUUCCCUUCUAUGGUAGCUCUGGGCAUUUAGGACCACAGACUCAAGUCUCCUCUCCUUACACUACCAAGUUCCCAACUUACCUCCAGAUUUUUCUCCCUGAGUGUCUUGUUGACUGGGAAAUAAGAGCCAGACUGGAGCGUAGCCAGUGCCUAUUCUUAGAAGCACAAUAUGUUCCCUUCUCUCUAAAGGUAGAUCAUGUAGAUCAUGGGGGGGGUACUAAUUUGGGGCUGUUGAAUAUUUCAUUUUGGAAGGAAAUCUCAUAUACAUUGCAUAUUAGGACUGAGUUGAACAUGCAAGCACCAGUUUGUAAUCUUAGUACUUGAGAGGCUGAGGCAGGAGGAUUGCAAACUCUAACCCAUAAUGGGCUAUAUCGUGGGACCCUGUCCCCCUAAUUUACCUGCCCAAAACCAGAUAACCUGGAGUGUUCCAGUGCCUGGGCCCUGUUGUGUUCCUUCUGUUGUUUGGUCAGGAGGGGGCAGCACUGCUGGCGGGUACUCGGGAUGACUUAACAACCUCACUUCAAGAGGAGCAUGCAGUCAUGAGAAAAGGAUUUCAGUACUGAAUUUACAGCCCUCUGAAAG